rnacentral:lncRNA from 1 species
GGGAAAUACGAAUGUUCUUUACACAGCGGUAAAGGAAAACUCCAGCAAACUAGAAAUUAUUUUAAACCUACGAGUUUGGAGUCCUAAAAACGCCGUAAAAAGUAUUUUUUAAAAAAAUUAUCGUCGCACAAGGACUCAGAGGUGCAUAAAUUGCAUAGUGAGAAUUUUCUGGUUUCCAUUGUUCACAAAAAUGUCAAGGCCAUUAAUAUUAACUCUUCUGGCUACUUUCCUCUCCAUGACAACCAAACAAGUAGUCCUAGCUAAACAUAACAUCACAGCUGCCCUUGUCGCAUUGGCUCCAUUACCUGAAGAAGCAGAGACAAAACUAUCCAUAGAAGAAAUCCAAAGCUCAGCACUAGGUUUACAAUUCAAUUGGUUUAUGGUUGCUAUGGUUAUGGCUUUUACAAUUAUUGUCAUUCGAAUACGAUGAGAAUGGCUUGGGUAAAGUGAUGGAUGAAAAUUUAGAGAAUAUUUUUACAUAAUGUUUUUAGGAUUUAAUUGUUAAAAAUGAUAAAUAGUUGCUAUGGUAAUGGCNUAUUGUAAGGACCAUAUGAGAUUAUGCAGCGUGCAAGAACUAAAAAACGUACAAAUGACCACCAACUACAGGUAAGCUGGUGGAAAAAUAAUUUUAAAUAUGCCACAAAAUGAUCAUUAANGAAAGUAUUUUCACUCAAGAGUCACAAUAGACCUCUAAUAUCAGGCUAGCACNAUUCUUUCCCACUUUNAGACCACUUGUCACUCUCUUGAGAAUCAUUUAUUUACUGGCGACACUUGAAAAAAUCGAGUGCAUUCCGACAGACUGCAAGGGAUUCAUUAAUAUUAUUAAGUGCUGCUCUGGUUAAGUGAUUUGAUAGUGACUCAUGGAUUCAGUGUUUGCUCUUUUUCAGAGCGUAAACUACAACUUAUGAAAUCCAUCUAUCUAUACCUUAAUUCGUAUCCAGAAUUUUCGAUUCAUAAAUCUCAGCAAGAGAAAAUGAACUAAGAGAAGGAAUCCCCGCNCCCCAUCAUGAGCACUCUUUGAUGCUAUUUUUAGAAUCUUUGAUGCUAUUUUUAGAAUCNUUGAUUUGAUUGUUUGCUGAUUGCUCAAGUUUUCUUGUUUUUCGUAAAAACGUGAGCAAUCAGCGUAGAGCGUGUGCAGUAUGUGCAUGCAGAAAAACGAACAAUGACAAAUGUGAUUCUCAAAAUUUUCUCUUGAUCUCAGUGAUCAAAGUAUCUCAUCUCUGAAGAUAAGAAAAGUUUGACAAGAGGAAUUUUCCUGUCUGGGAAUAUAAGGGAUAUUCACAAGAAAUAUAAUAAAAUACCCCUAAAUUAAAGAUAAUAAUAUGAAUAAUAAAUGAAUAGAAUAAAUCCCUAAAAAGCCUUACCCUGCAGUCCCUGCUCAAGGAACCAUAAUGUUGGUUGUUAGAGAGGUUUACAUAAACCCAUGAAACAAAGUGUACUAAUUGUAUAGGAAAUCGCACAAUCUCAAGUACAAUUGGAAAUUUAUACUGUAGGUACGAGUGACGUUUUGGAAGUUUUCAAAAUUGGACGAGCCUUUAGGAGAGUUCAAUUUGAGAACUUUCAAAACCUCACAAGUAUCUAUAAAUUCUGAAUUGUAUGAGAAGAUUGUUUGAUUUUUUGUUUAUAAUACACUCAAAAAAAUUGAGUGUAUAGUCUGAUAACCACAAUAGAAAACAAAAGAAUUAGAGUAACAGUACUAAAUAAGCUAAAGUGUAUUUGACUGGUUAAUGAAAACCANUCUAAUGUGGAGUGAA